ACGCGUGGAACCUUACCAGGUCUUGACAUCCUUCGUUACUUCUAGAGAUAGAAGGUUCCCCUUCGGGGGACGAAGUGACAGGUGGUGCAUGGUUGUCGUCAGCUCGUGUCGUGAGAUGUUGGGUUAAGUCCCGCAACGAGCGCAACCCUUGAUCUUAGUUGCCAGCAUUCAGUUGGGCACUCUAAGGUGACUGCCGGUGACAAACCGGAGGAAGGUGGGGAUGACGUCAAAUCAUCAUGCCCCUUAUGACCUGGGCUACACACGUGCUACAAUGGAUGGUACAAAGGGCUGCAAGACCGCGAGGUUUAGCCAAUCCCAUAAAACCAUUCUCAGUUCGGAUUGCAGGCUGCAACUCGCCUGCAUGAAGCUGGAAUCGCUAGUAAUCGCGGAUCAGCAUGCCGCGGUGAAUACGUUCCCGGGCCUUGCACACACCGCCCGU
rnacentral:rRNA from 1 species